GAUGAACGCUGGCGGCGUGCCUAACACAUGCAAGUCGAGCGAACAGACGAGGAGCUUGCUCUUCUGACGUUAGCGGCGGACGGGUGAGUAAUACGUGGAUAACCUACCUAUAAGACUGGGAUAAGUUCGGGAGACUGGAACUACUACAUGAUUAUAUAUUCAACAGUAUGGUUCAAUAGUGAUGGACGGUUUUGAUGUUACUUAUAGAUAGAUCCGCGACGCUUUAGCUAGUUGGGAAGGUGACGGCUUACCAAGGCGAGGAUGCGUAGCUGACCUGAGAGGGUGAUCGGCCACACUGGAACUGAGACACGGUCCAGACUCCUACGGGAGGCAGCAGUAGGGAAUCUUCCGCAAUGGGCGGAAUCCUGACGGAACAACGCCGCGUGAGUGAUGAAGGUCCUCGGAUCGUAAAACUCUGCUAUUAGGGAAGAACAAAUGUGUAAGUAACUAUACACGUCUUGACGGUACCUAAUCAGAAAGCCACGGCUAACUACGUG
rnacentral:rRNA from 1 species